rnacentral:rRNA from 1 species
GACGAACGCUGGCGGCGUGCUUAACACAUGCAAGUCGAACGAGUGGCGGACGGGUGAGUAAUGUCUGGGAAACUGCCUGAUGGAGGGGGAUAACUACUGGAAACGGUAGCUAAUACCGCAUACCAUCAGAUGUGCCCAGAUGGGAUUAGCUAGUAGGUGGGGUAACGGCUCACCUAGGCGACGAUCCCUAGCUGGUCUGAGAGGAUGACCAGCCACACUGGAACGGAGACACGGCCCAGACUCCUACGGGAGGCAGCAGUGGGGAAUUUUGGACAAUGGGCGCAAGCCUGAUCCAGCCAUGCCGCGUGUCUGAAGAAGGCCUUCGGGUUGUAAAGGACUUUUGUUAGGGAAGCGGUACCUAAAGAAUAAGCACCGGCUAACUACGUGCCAGCAGCCGCGGUAAUAC